UUUAAUUCGAAGCAACGCGAAGAACCUUACCAGGUCUUGACAUCCUCUGACAACCCUAGAGAUAGGGCUUCUCCUUCGGGAGCAGAGUGACAGGUGGUGCAUGGUUGUCGUCAGCUCGUGUCGUGAGAUGUUGGGUUAAGUCCCGCAACGAGCGCAACCCUUGAUCUUAGUUGCCAUCAUUUAGUUGGGCACUCUAAGGUGACUGCCGGUGACAAACCGGAGGAAGGUGGGGAUGACGUCAAAUCAUCAUGCCCCUUAUGACCUGGGCUACACACGUGCUACAAUGGACGGUACAAAGAGCUGCAAGACCGCGAGGUGGAACUAAUCUCGUAAAACCGUUCUCAGUUCGGAUUGUAGGCUGCAACUCGCCUACAUGAAGCUGGAAUCGCUAGUAAUCGCGGAUCAGCAUGCCG
rnacentral:rRNA from 1 species